GAUGAACGCUGGCGGCGUGCUUAACACAUGCAAGUCGAGCGAGAAGUUUUAAACGGAUUCUUCGGAUGAAAGAUAAAACGGAAAGCGGCGGACGGGUGAGUAACGCGUAGGCAACCUGCCUCAUACAAAGGGAUAGCAUCUGGAAACGGAUAUUAAUACCUUAUAAUACCUUAGGUUCACAUGGACCAUAGGUCAAAGAUUUAUCGGUAUGAGAUGGGCCUGCGUCUGAUUAGCUAGUUGGUAGGGUAACGGCCUACCAAGGCGACGAUCAGUAGCCGACCUGAGAGGGUGAUCGGCCACACUGGAACUGAGACACGGUCCAGACUCCUACGGGAGGCAGCAGUGGGGAAUAUUGCACAAUGGGCGCAAGCCUGAUGCAGCAACGCCGCGUGAGUGAUGAAGGCCUUAGGGUCGUAAAACUCUGUCCUAAGGGAAGAAUAAAUGACGGUACCUUAGGAGGAAGCCCCGGCUAACUACGUGCCAGCAGCCGCGGU
rnacentral:rRNA from 1 species